UUUCUUCUUCCUGUCUUUUGUUGUUUCUCUCUCUUCCCCUUUUAUUCAAUGAAGUCUGGUUUAUAUGAUGUCCUCCCUACUACUAUUGGAAGGUUUGGCUCCUGAGGAUUUGAGACUUUUGCUCUGUGGGUGUCAGCAGGUUGAACUUGACGUACUCAAAAAGAUAACUUUCACCGACGAGAGUUGUCACAGCCUCGUGGUAGAAGGAGUUGAUCAGGUUCAAGAGAAGUGAUGAUCCCUCCUCCCCUCUACUAGGAGAUCAACCAGUACAUGUGAAGGUCUCUCUCUCUCUCCCUCUCCAUUCCCUCCAGUUAGGUGUAACACUCAACCAAAUCAUCAUAUUUUGUAUUGGAAUUUUUAUAAUGAAACGAAACUAGAAAUCCAAAACAUCACAAAUAAUGAUAAUAAUAUGUA